rnacentral:ribozyme from 1 species
UUAGGUGGGAUGGUAAAACCUAAUGCUUAAUGCAGCCACAGCCUGUCACAAGCCAGGAUAAAUGCAGAGUGAGUA